rnacentral:lncRNA from 1 species
CUCAAUCGCUCGUUCAAGGUUUCAACCUCUCUCCUCGUAGCCAGUGACUCUGUACUUGCAAUAGUAGUAAAAUUCCUGAAUAUUUGGAGUCGGUCAUGGUGAUGAACAUCAAUCUCAACAGUUGUGUAUCAACAUCCAUCAAUGGUGGUGGAACUGGGAACAUCUCAACAUCUUCUACCCCUGGCCCUGUGCAGCCUACUACUGUCUAAGGUGCUCUUAUUCUAACUUUUUCGUGUGCCUCUUCGAGCUCUAUCCUAAGCCUCCAAGUAGUGCGAUUGACGAAAGUGCUAGCCGUCUUAGGUAGUUCUCCAAAUGGGUUAGUCACGCCAACUCUCUUAUAAAUCUAGCUAAUCAGACUUGGGAAUAUUAAUGAACAAUGACAAUACUCCCAAGUUCCUUAUGCUUGUAUCAGAUCAUAGAAAAAUGUCAUUAAAUUAAUCUUCCGUCUCCUCAUCAAGUGGUAAUUGAAAAUCUUUAAGAUCAUUGAAUGUGGUCUGGUGUGUGGUAGGCUCGAUGUUGUGGCGCAUGAAUAACGAGAUAGCGAUGGAAGGUGUAAGCUCAAUCUGAUGCCACUCAUCAAUCUACAAUGGCCAAUCAUUCACUCGCCUACAUAGAAUUUCUCCUACUUCAUUCCAAUUGAAAUUUUCAGGAAUUUGCACAACAUUCAUGUAGUGAACAUAAUCUCCUUGUCCCCUCACCCAUGUCUGAUAUAGAUAAAGAGCCAGGAGAUAAGGAAUCCACCAUGCUUUCGAAAGAUGGAAGGAGUCCUCCAUACGAAUAUUGGACCUCGAGUCCCUUUCUUAUGUCGCGAUAAGGAUACUUCUAAAGCAUGUUCGUAAACAUAUUUCAAGCCUCAUCAAAGGAUUCGAAUUCACCUUGAUAGAAAAUAGAUAUGUCAUACUUCAACUUCGCUAUUUUGGCUGUAGGAAGAACUUUGUGUGGAACUUUUAAGCUAGAUCAUUCCUAGUGUUGAUACUGACAAUGGAUUGGGAAUCCAGUCACUCAAGUGCUCUAUCACAUAGAGUAUGUGGAAAUAGCCUUAGUCUGAUAGCAUCAUUUGAAAUCCUCUUAUACAAAAAAUGUUGAUACAUCUCCAAGCAUUGAGAGACGAGCAUAUGUGGAUUUUCCUCAACUCUACCAUAAAAUUGAUGUUCAUUUUGAAAUAGAUGGAUGAUGUUGGUCUUCAGCUGAAAGUUAGGCUGCCCAAAUUGAGGGUACAUAAUGCUGGAUUGACUCUAAAUGAUCUAUAGGAUUAUGAAAUCCCCAACAGGCAUAUUUUCCUCAUCAAUGGCUUCUUCCUUUUCACUUGAAUUACUGGGUUAUUUUGCUCGUUAACCAUUUGUAUUUGCUUUUUUUGGUCUUUUUGCUAUGCUGCUCUUGCUUUCCUUUACCUACAAUAAAAAUUGCAUUAGAUUUUCGGAUUAGCUGGAAUCAGUUCAUCGUUAAUCAACCUUCGCAUAUAAGAAUUGAAGGAAGAACAAUAGUAGCACUUAUAUAAACUAAUAUAGAAAAAAUAAAUAAACUAAAAAUGUUUGAAUUAGGGCCAAAGUAAAUAAAAUCAAAUUAAAAUUCAAUCCCGGAACGAGUGUCAAAAACUUGUUACGAAAUAUAUGUGUUCGUUUAAAAUAUCGCAAGUGUACGAUUUGUUAACCAGUAAUAACAUGAAUUUGAGUCCAAAUAUUGUUCUCAUAGAGAUUGAUUUAGUUCAAUUUUAAGUAAAAACCUUAACUGACACAAUGACAAAAUGACGAUUUUGUUUAUGACUAAAUUUUAACUAACAUUAUCUAAAUAUGCAACUAUUACUAAAUUAACUAGGCUUAAUACAAAUUAUACUAAAUGCAAGUUUAUGUGUUCUUAUGAAUGACAAGCGUACUAGAAUCCCGAAACCCCUUCUAGUAAUCCCUUUUAACCUUAGUUCUACAAUUUGACAACAUGAUUUAAUUAUGAAGAAUUAUCACUCCUAUUUUAUUUAAUAAUCUCUCUCGAGUAAAGUUAAACAUAUUCUCAUAUAUGAUUCGAUUAUAUUUCUAUAAUGGAUAAGAACAUACAAGAAUGAAUGAAUUUUUAUGAACAACUAAAGAUUUACAUAGAGUAUAACGGUUAUUUUAUCUCUUAUCGAAUCAUAUGACGAUUAAUACAACUACCAUGUACAAUAAUUUUGAAGAAUAGAUAAUCAUAUAUAUCGUUCAAUAAUAAAAAUGUGCUUUUAAUAUCAAAUAUGUAAAAUUAAAGAUUAAAAACUCAUAAUACAAGGUUCAUCGUUCUCUUAGCACAAAGAAAUCUAGCCUAACAUGGUAUUAAGAAUAAUACAAGAAUUAUAAAAAAUCGACAUCACCCAAAAUAUAUCUUGAAUUGGAUCUUGAAAUCUAGGAAUUGCUCUUGAUGUUUCUUGCUGCAUUCUAUGCUCUCAGAUUAGUUGUAAUGUGUGCUCGUCUAUUUUUAGAUGACCUUAGGCCUUAGAAGACCUCUCAAAGAUUGUUUCCGUAAGAGUUGGAGUCAUAUAAAAAAAUCAGAUUUUUUCCUCCGCGAAAUGCCUAUGCGACCGCAUAGGGUUAAGGGAUGGGACCGCAUAGCUCUUCAAUGUUGAGCUCUUGAAAUCCUUGGAUGAUGUAAUAUGAUCGCAUGGAUGAAAUGGCUAUGCAACUGCAUAGCCAGUCAUAAAAUUUUAGAUUUGCAUUUUAGUCCAUGAAACCCGUUUUCUCGUUCUUUGAUCUCUUUUUUCCACUUCUUCUUCUUUCAAGAUUUUAUUCCUUCGCUCAAUUGGUCUUUGACGCUUUCACAUCUUCAUUUCUUAUGCCGGAUCAUCUUUUGACUAUUCUUAAUUUGGUCCUUGAACUUUAUUUUCCUCCAUUUUGGUCCUUUUUUGCUUGUUUACUUCAAUUCCACUGUAUUUAUCAAUGUUAUCCGACAAAACACAAUUUUCAUAGGAAAAAGCCAUAUUCCAAUAUAGUUUAUCAACAAAUAUUCAUAUUUUAUGACCUAAAUAAGUGUAUAAAAUACACUUAUCACUAUCCAUUUUAAUCAGCCACCUAAUAAAUUAAACCUUAAGCUAUUAAAUAAGAGAGCACCUUUGUUAAUUUAUUUGACAUUUGUAAAAAAUCAAUUGAGUAGUAACUUCAUUACCUGAAACAGAAGUAUGGACCAAAUGCACCACCAGAUUUAUCGACUCAAUUCUUCAAGGUUUAUAUUAACUUAUCGAAAGAAAACUCAUUUUCACUCGGGCAAUACAGAUAUUACUUCUCAUUUUCUGACUCUUUCAAAGAAAACAAAAAAGCAUUUCUAUAUUUGUAUUCAAAUUGGCCAUUAUUCCUAAUCUAAUUUUUUCUGCAUUCGGAUUCAUUUAUUAUUAGACUUCAUGAGAAAUCUAAUACUAGAUUGUUGUUGUUGGAAUGGCUACGGCACAGGUGCUUCCUUGCCUCUUAUCAUGCCAUGGCUGGACGUGAAUGAAAUGUGCAGAUGAUGUGUACUUCGACAGGGAUGGUAGCAAGGCAGAGUAACAUUUAUUGACAAAUGUGCAUGGAACAACCCAAAUUCAGCGUAUCACACCUGAAGACUAUCCACAAUUAAGUAUUCUAGCACAUGAUUAGGAGUAAAGAACAAUUAUUUGGCUCGGAUACUAACGUCAAAGACUUUAGCUGUUUAACAAUAGGCCAUGCAUUGACAAAAGGUCCAGCCAGCAUAUAUAGUGUUGGAUGUUUUAAGCAAAAUAGCUUUCUUAUUCCUAGUGAUAUGGGUAAACCCAUUUAGAAGCUCAUUGUAACAUAAGAUUCCUUGCUACAAUAUAUACCCUCG